rnacentral:ncRNA from 1 species
AAAAAGGUUAGUCGCAAGAAGUCAGCAGAUGCCAUAGUAAUGACCUUUGGUCAUGAAGGGC